AUCAUUUUAAGUAAAAAAAUGGGAAGCAAAUGAAACAAAUGGAGCCAUAGCUAUCAUUCUUUACAGGCUUUCUUGAAAAUUCGAAUUAAAACAUUGACAUACAAUAAAACUACAGUUUAAAGUUAAGAUUGAUUUGUGAUUUUAUAUUUUUAUUUCUCUGAUCCAUGUGAAAAUGCAAAUAAUACAUAAAAUCAUAUCAUAUUUUUUCUCGAUACCAGCAUAUAACAUUGGCAAUUUUAUCACGUUCCUCACUGCCAAUCAUUUUCCACUUCAUCGCCAAAUCAAGCGACACCAAUGAAAUUAGCAGACAAACGCCAUGAUGCAUGCAGCAGCAACUGAAAUAAAAUACUUCUGCAGCCAUGUCAGAAGGGCUAACCCCUGCAUAUGAAAGUUCAUCUUAAACUUUCCUUUUCAACGGUUGCAGUAAGUGCAUCCUCUAAAGCUUGAGCGAAAGUUGCAAUCUUGUACGUGAAAAAUCCCACUAGCAUUGGUAUCAAUUCUAAGUCCAUAAAUCCAUAAUCUGGAACAAGGAUCCUGCGUCCAAAUAGCACUGUCAGGGAUGAAAUCAAGAUAGAUAUUCAGUGAUUUCUCAAAAAGAAUAGGUAUUUGCUGCAAAUCGGAUCUAAAAUAUGAGGAACCAUGCUGACCAACGUUUAAUAUUUGACUACAAAAUAAACCUUGUGAAAGAAUCCAUUAGAACACAUCCAUGCCAAAAAAAGGAGCCAAGAAUGGACUAACAAAGAAUCAAUCGGCGAAAGUAAUGAUCAAAGAUAAAAAUAAUAUUAUAUCUGAAGUGUUGAAAGUCUAAAAUAUAAUGCUAGAACCACAAUGUAAAUGAUAAUUUUAAAUCAAAUUGAAGGCUAGAAAUCUUAACAGUUGAUAAAGAUACUGUUCUUGAUCUUAACUCCAAUAGUAUUUCCACCUAACCCCACAUAUCAUUGAUUUCCAAUUUUCAAUAAUCUUCCUUCGAGAAAUAUUACAUCUUUAAUCAGCACUUUUUAGAUAUGGGGUCAAUUCAGUUUAGCAGUAAAUUAUAGUUUAAGAUUCAUAGAAUUUAGGCAUGUACUUGCAACCAGAAAAAAAAAAAGAAGAGAACUCUGUAAGGCAGAAUUAUAAAACAGGUAAAAGGCAAGGUACAAUCACCUUAUGAUGCAGAGAGAUUAGAAUUACUGAGGAUGUAGUUACAUACAAUCAAACAUAUAUAUAGAGCCGAUUUGGCUCUGCAGGCCAGAUUAUUUGCACAGAAACCAAGGCCAUAAAUAACAGUUUCUCAAGGAAGCUGCCAUUUUGGAGUCUUGGCAUUUGUGCAGCUGGGCCCCCUGUAGCAAAACUCACUCAUACACAAUACAGAUCAAAAUCUGAUCAUUAAAAUUGCAACUUAUAAAGCCAAAACUAUCCAGAAUAAUGAAUUGACUUCAGAAAGGAGCCCCUCAUUGUAACAAAUAAAGCAUUGUACCAAUAGUAGUAUGUUACAAUGAGCACUUACUCAUUCCACCGGUUAUAAAUCAUGACUAAGAUAACAGGAACCAGCAGCCUUGGCUGCCCAAUUGCGCCUCUGCAAGGAAAGCAUCAUUGAGCUAAAAAUCUGGCCUAAAACAAUAAAAGAAUACCAUGAUUAUCUUUGUUUUAGCCUUUUUUUAAAAAAACUUUUUUUUUUAUGUAUAUUAUUAACAACAAAGAUACCUGUUGAGCUUUCCAUAAAAUUACUGAAUCAGGUUAAUUGGUUAAGAAGUAAAAGCAAGAACGCCAUCAAGGAUGUGUAAAACCUAGCUUGCCAGUAGAAUUCAAUGUGCAUGAAGCAUGAACUAUGAAGCCAUUAUGAUAACAAAAAUCUAAGAGAGAAAGGCAGUUUAUACAUACUUGACAAGGCCCUUGGCUCCAUCUGCCAUGGAAUCAACAGUACUCCCAAGCAUACGUAUAUACACUAAAGAUCCAAUCAAUCCAGCACCAAAACUAGCUGCAAUUUCCGGAGAAUAAGAGAUAUAUGCUGAGACCAAUCCAACACCACCUAUACCCAAGGUAAGAAUCUGCAACUUCUUCUUCAACUUGAAAUACUGCUCCCUUGAUCGAGCAGCCAAUAAUUCAGGAUCACCUUGAGGCCUCCUUAUUUCCCUCAACAUCACAUCCUACAAGCUACGUGCAAAUGAGACCCCAAAAACUAAAAGCAUCUUUCAAAAUGACACUGAAUUCAAUAAAUACACGUAUGAAGAUCCCCAAGAGUAAACCCAAAGUUAACUUCAGAAUCCCCAAAGUUAACUGCAUAUUUCAUAAUCCCCAAAUUUAGGUUUAUAAUCAAAGAUCGUGAAAAGUUUAACAGGUGCCUAAGAAAACAUACCUAGCAUGAUAAAGGAUUGUAAAGUAAUAAAUGCACCCGUGGAAGUUCAUUGAGAUUAAUAUGCAAGACAAAGUAUGGAACAUACACUGCCUCCAGUUGCAGCCUUAGUUGCUUUAUCCCACUUCUCCUGCUCACGGCGUGUUGGUACCAAUCUCCAUUUUGUAGAGUUGCCAAUACUGCCCUUGGUUGCAGCCUCAAAUGGCAGUCCUGACAUCGGCUUUGGAGUUUGUGUAAGCUCUUUACUCAAAUCAACUUCCAAGUUAUCCAAACUCAUGACUCUGUUUAAACUUAGAAAUCCAGAGGACUCUUCCUUAACAGGGGAGGGUUCAGGAGAGGACACAUCAGAUUCCUGAAUCAAUCUCUCCAUACGACCCAUGAAGUCUUUGUUCCAAAUAAACUCAUCGGAGGUUAAAGGGUCUUCUUCUUCACCUCCCCAGUACUUGCGGAUGCCAGAGGUGGUGGGUGGACCUCCAUACUCCCCAGGUGCUACCCCAGUGGACCAUUUCAAAGGCUUCUUUUUGGGCAGUAUCGCUUUGGUCUGUCUUGGGUUUGGAAUUUGUGGCGUUGUUGAGGAGUCUGGGGAUAUGGGUGCUGUCGUUGAGGUCACCAAAAUGUAGUUUAGUACAGCCAUUGGAGGAGUUGUUAGAGAUGUGCGUCAGGCAAAAAUGCUGCAAAACUUGGAUCCUUUAGUCGCUCAGCCGGUGGUGGUGGCCACUAGUUUGACGCGUAUCUGUGUUUUCUGGUGAACUUGGAUAUUUUACAUUCGAAUGAGGAAAGGCACUUGGGCACGGAUGGAA
rnacentral:misc_RNA from 1 species